rnacentral:tmRNA from 4 species
GGGGAUGUAUUUGGUUUCGACAGUAUCCCAGAAGUAAGAAUAGCGAGUAGUGGAUUCGCCUGGCCACUUUAAAAGGCGAAAAAUAAAUAUAAACGCUGAUAAUAGAGAAUUAGCAUACGCUGCCUAGUUAAUGGUAGCUCGUCUUACUUUAAAUGCCCACGUUUAAAGAUUAAGGCGUCAUUUAGUGGGAAACGAACCUAUUUCUUGCCAUAGAAAUAGCAGGUAUUUUAAAUGGCUACCUUAAGAAUAAGUUUGUUUGUUAACUUAUUCUUAAGGGAAUAAUAAUAACAAACUACACUCGUAGAAGUUCUUGUGGAAAGGUUAUUGGACAGGAGUUCGACUCUCCUCAUCUCCACCA